AUUGAACGCUGGCGGCAGGCCUAACACAUGCAAGUCGAGCGGAUGAAGGGAGCUUACUCCUGGAUUCAGCGGCGGACGGGUGAGUAAUGCCUAGGAAUCUGCCUGGUAGUGGGGGAUAACGUCCGGAAACGGGCGCUAAUACCGCAUACGUCCUGAGGGAGAAAGUGGGGGAUCUUCGGACCUCACGCUAUCAGAUGAGCCUAGGUCGGAUUAGCUAGUUGGUGGGGUAAAGGCCUACCAAGGCGACGAUCCGUAACUGGUCUGAGAGGAUGAUCAGUCACACUGGAACUGAGACACGGUCCAGACUCCUACGGGAGGCAGCAGUGGGGAAUAUUGGACAAUGGGCGAAAGCCUGAUCCAGCCAUGCCGCGUGUGUGAAGAAGGUCUUCGGAUUGUAAAGCACUUUAAGUUGGGAGGAAGGGCAGUAAGUUAAUACCUUGCUGUUUUGACGUUACCAACAGAAUAAGCACCGGCUAACUUCGU
rnacentral:rRNA from 1 species